AGCAGCCGCGGUAAUUCCAGCUCCAAUAGCGUAUAUUAAAGUUGUUGCAGUUAAAAAGCUCGUAGUUGAAUUUCGGGAUCAAUAUGUUGGUCGUGCCUCGGUACGUACUAGCUUAUUGGUUUCUCCUUUCUGAAGAACCAUGAUGUCAUUUAUUUGGUGUCGUGGGGAAUCAGGACUGUUACUUUGAAAAAUUAGAGUGUUUAAAGCAGGCUCACGCUUGAAUACAUUAGCAUGGAAUAAUGAAAUAGGACGUUUGAUUCUAUUUUGUUGGUUUUCUAGGAUCGACGUAAUGAUUAAUAGGGAUAGUUGGGGGCAUUAGUAUUCAAUUGUCAGAGGUGAAAUUCUUGGAUUUAUUGAAGACUAACUACUGCGAAAGCAUUUGCCAAGGAUGUUUUCAUUAAUCAAGAACGAAAGUUAGGGGAUCGAAGACGAUCAGAUACCGUCGUAGUCUUAACCAUAAACUAUGCCGACUAGGGAUCG
rnacentral:rRNA from 1 species